AACAAACGCUGGCGGCGUGCCUAACACAUGCAAGUCGUACGAGAAAGGGUCCUUCGGGGCCUGAAUAAAGUGCCGCACGGGUGAGUAACGCGUGGAUAAUCUGCCCUUCAGGUGGGAAUAACUCAUCGAAAGGUGGGCUAAUACCGAAUAAUGCCGUGAGACCUCGGUUGAUCAGCCAAAGAGAGCCUUUGCUUGCAAGCCCUCGCUGAAGGAUGAGUCCGCGUACCAUUAGCUAGUUGGUAGGGUAAUGGCCUACCAAGGCGACGAUGGUUAGCUGGUCUGAGAGGAUGAUCAGCCACACUGGAACUGAGACACGGUCCAGACUCCUACGGGAGGCAGCAGUGAGGAAUCUUGCGCAAUGGGGGCAACCCUGACGCAGCAACGCCGCGUGAGUGAGGAAGGUCUUCGGAUCGUAAAGCUCUGUCGGAUGGAAAGAACCGCAUAGGGGUAAACAGCCCCUGUGUCUGACGGUACCAUCAAAGGAAGCACCGGCUAACUCCGUGCCAGCCGCCGCCGUAACAC
rnacentral:rRNA from 1 species